rnacentral:rRNA from 1 species
GACGAACGCUGGCGGUAUGCUUAACACAUGCAAGUCGAACGAGAAGCUUUUUAAUGAUCCUUCGGGUGAACUAAGAAGUGGAAAGUGGCGAACGGGUGAGUAACGCGUGGGUAACCUGCCUCAUGGAAAGGAAUAGCCUCGGGAAACUGGGAGUAAAGCCUUAUAUUAUUGAGUUGUCGCAUGGCAAUUCGAUGAAAACUCCGGUGCCAUGAGAUGGACCCGCGUCCCAUUAGCUAGUUGGUGAGAUAAAAGCCCACCAAGGCAACGAUGGGGAACCGGUCUGAGAGGGCGAACGGUCACACUGGAACUGAGACACGGUCCAGACUCCUACGGGAGGCAGCAGUGGGGAAUAUUGCGCAAUGGGGGAAACCCUGACGCAGCAAUACCGCGUGAGUGAAGAAGGUUUUCGGAUCGUAAAACUCUUUUAUUGGGGAAGAAGAAGUGACGGUACCCAAUGAAGAAGUCCCGGCUAACUACGUGCCAGCAGCCGCCGUAACAC